UGGAUCAGUUGUAGAGGGCCAUGGCUUACCAUUGCCAAACUCAUUGGCCUAGUCAAGGAGAUGGUGAAAUCACAUGACUGGAUCACACGGAGAGAAUAACACUGAUAAUCAAAUUAAUUAUUCUCACCUACUGCAGUUUUUAAAAUGAUGUGCUUUUAAUGCAACAGUGCUCUUCUCGAGUUAAAUGACCGAAGUAACCCUAUCAGACCUGAUCCAAUUGUGAGGUCUCAAUGGUCUCCCCCACAAUUGGAUCAACACUGUUCAAUGGUCUCCCUCACUGAACCAAGCUUCUUUCUUCGUUUCCCAGAAGUGUUCACACAGAUCCAAUUGCAAACAGAGUUCUUAAAGAUUCCUCACUGUGCUGGAUCAAAAUCAUUCGUUCGUUUCUUCGAGGAACAAGUACAAUUUGCAUGGUCUUGGAGUCGAAUUGCUCCUGCAAAACCUCUGCAUUCUUGAAAUACUUUCUAAAAGCCGCUAAUAGGGCGUGUGGAUCGACGGUACCAGAGAUGGUGACCUUCCCUUCAUCUGCAUCAAUGUUGCUUGAAUGCACUCAGUCAGCCUUUUUGAGUACUUUCUUGACAUUUCCCAAGCACCCCUCGCAGCCGCACUGGAUGUUCAGUUUCAGAGCAAAACUCUUUUCGGCAACCAUAGAUGGAGCUAGCUAGGACUAUAUAUAUAGGAGUUUAUCACUGAAAUUAAAUUGGACUAAGCUGGCCAACACAAAUGAUCUAUCAAUCUCUCUUACAAUCGAAUAAGUACUCGAUCAAAUGAGGGCACAUACAAGUAUGUGGUGUGUGUGUGAUAUGUAUUUAUAAUGUUCAGUCUCUACUGUCUACCUUAAAGUGGAAGAUUUCCAAGAAGCUGCCAAGCAUUUUCCGCGUAGACAACGCGUGGUGAUUUUCUUACCUUAGUUGUUAAAGAAAA